CAAUAAAAUGCUUCGCUGGGGCGCAGCUUGAUACGACCGCAGAGGUCGAACCCUGAACAGUUGGGGCAAGUAUGGACACAACAUUCAAGCUUGAUACAGCUCAGAAUUUGGAUUGUUAUUAAAUAUUUGACACAGCAUAGGUUUCUGACACAGAAAGAAUGUGGUCUAAGAACUUGAAUUUUUUUAAUUUACCUAUUAUGGUCCAAUGUCCAAAAUCAAAA